CCUAAGAGCGAUCCUGUACCAUCCUGACACAUCAGGACGGUUGGCGAAGUGAGCUAUGAGACUGAGUGAGUUUGACAUUCAAUACCGACCGUGAUCCACUCUGAAAGCCCAGGUUCUGGCCGACUUUGUCGCAGAAUGCCCGACGACCGAUCGAGCAUCGAAAGAGGGGAGCCCCGAAGAGGUUGGGACCUCCGAAUGUGACCUCGAUUCAACCUGGGUGUUGCACAUCGACG
rnacentral:lncRNA from 1 species